GCCGCAUCACUUAUGCAGCUCCAGGUGGGGGUCACUCGGCUCAAGGUGGUGGAGUUGGAACUCAGACCUAUGUCACCGUGACAAGCCCUGGACUCCGGUGCGGCUGGGCCUGGGGCUACCUGAAGGGAGAGCAGAGACUCAGGUGCCCGGUGAGCAAUGGCAGUGAGGAGAAGCAGAGAGCAACGCCAGCAAGCAACGCCUCCUGCCCCUGCUUUUGCUCUUGUGUCUCUUGACCCUGUGAGGUCCAGCAACCAUGGGGACUGAGCAGCAGUUGGACUUGGGGGCAGCCGAGCUUCUGGAAAAUUUUAGCUUGUUAUUGUGAAGACUUGUGGAAUAUCCCAAAGUGCUGGCUUUCGGAAAAGGGUGCCUACAUUUUCUUCUGCACAGGCUCUGCUGAAGGAGUUUGCUGCACUCUUGAAAGGACAGGCAAGCUCAGGUCCUCAUGGCUCGAUCUCUGAGCAGGCCUCUAACCCAGUGAGGACAGCGGUCAACCAGUCUCCAGCUAACAGCUUCCUGCAGAGACUUCCAGCAUUGUUAGCUAACAUGCACUCUUCUGAGGCCUUCAACAGCUGGAAACUGUUUCAGGACUAUCUUGCCAGCUAAGAAGCGG
rnacentral:lncRNA from 10 species